GCCCGGCUGGCUCAGUCGGAAGAACGUGCGACUCUCGAUCUCACGGUCGUGAGUUAGAGCCUCACGCUGGGUG